rnacentral:rRNA from 1 species
UACGUAGGGGGCUAGCGUUGUCCGGAUUUAUUGGGCGUAAAGAGCGUGUAGGCGGCCAGGUAGGUCUGCUGUGAAAACUCGAGGCUCAACCUCGAGACGUCGGCGGAAACCAUCUGGCUAGAGUCCGGAAGAGGAGAGUGGAAUUCCUGGUGUAGCGGUGAAAUGCGCAGAUAUCAGGAAGAACACCCGUGGCGAAGGCGGCUCUGUCGGGACG